GGGGCUGUAGCUCAGUGGUAGAGUGCUUGCCUCACAAGUGUGAGGCCCUGGGUUUGAUCCUCAGCACCA
rnacentral:tRNA from 1 species